UACGUAGGGUGCGAGCGUUGUCCGGAAUUAUUGGGCGUAAAGGGCUCGUAGGCGGUUUGUCGCGUCGGGAGUGAAAACCCAGGGCUUAACUCUGGGCUUGCUUUCGAUACGGGCAGACUAGAGGUAUGCAGGGGAGGAACGGAAUUCCUGGUGUAGCGGUGAAAUGCGCAGAUAUCAGGAGGAACACCGGUGGCGAAGGCGG
rnacentral:rRNA from 1 species